UGGGGAAUAUUGCACAAUGGGGGAAACCCUGAUGCAGCAACGCCGCGUGAGUGAUGACGGCCUUCGGGUUGUAAAGCUCUGUCUUCAGGGACGAUAAUGACGGUACCUGAGGAGGAAGCCACGGCUAACUACGUGCCAGCAGCCGCGGUAAUACGUAGGUGGCAAGCGUUGUCCGGAUUUCCUGGGCGUAAAGGGAGCGUAGGCGGACUUUUAAGUGAGAUGUGAAAUACCCGGGCUCAACCUGGGUGCUGCAUUUCAAACUGGAAGUCUAGAGUGCAGGAGAGGAGAGUGGAAUUCCUAGUGUAGCGGUGAAAUGCGUAGAGAUUAGGAAGAACACCAGUGGCGAAGGCGACUCUCUGGACUGUAACUGACGCUGAGGCUCGAAAGCGUGGGGAGCAAACA
rnacentral:rRNA from 1 species